UUAGGAAUAUUGCGCAAUGGGGGAAACCCUGACGCAGCAACGCCGCGUGAGUGAUGAAGGUUUUCGGAUCGUAAAGCUCUUUUAGUUGGGAAGAAUAAAUGACGGUACCAACAGAAAAAGCACCGGCUAACUCUGUGCCAGCAGCCGCGGUAAUACAGAGGGUGCAAGCGUUAUUCGGAAUUAUUGGGCGUAAAGAGCACGUAGGCGGUUUAGUAAGUUUGCUGUGAAAACCCACGACUUAAUCGUGGAAGUGCAGUGAAUACUGCUAGACUAGAGUACUGGAGAGGAGAACGGAAUUCCUGGUGUAGAGGUGAAAUUCGUAGAUAUCAGGAGGAACAACGGAGGCGAAGGCGGUUCUCUGGACAGUAACUGACGCUGAGGUGCGAAAGCGUGGGGAGCG
rnacentral:rRNA from 1 species